AGGAUGAUCAGCCUCACUGGGACUGAGACACGGCCCAGACUCCUACGGGAGGCAGCAGUGGGGAAUAUUGGACAAUGGGCGCAAGCCUGAUCCAGCCAUGCCGCGUGGGUGAUGAAGGCCCUAGGGUUGUAAAGCCCUUUCGGCGGGGAAGAUAAUGACGGUACCCGCAGAAGAAGCCCCGGCUAACUUCGUGCCAGCAGCCGCGGUAAUACGAAGGGGGCUAGCGUUGCUCGGAAUCACUGGGCGUAAAGCGCACGUAGGCGGAUUGUUAAGUCAGGGGUGAAAUCCUGGAGCUCAACUCCAGAACUGCCUUUGAUACUGGCGAUCUUGAGUCCGGGAGAGGUGAGUGGAACUGCGAGUGUAGAGGUGAAAUUCGUAGAUAUUCGCAAGAACACCAGUGGCGAAGGCGGCUCACUGGCCCGGUACUGACGCUGAGGUGCGAAAGCGUGGGGGGCAAACAGGAUUAGAUACCCUGGUAGUCCACGCCGUAAACGAUGGAUGCUAGCCGUUGGCGGGUUUACUCGUCAGUGGCGCAGCUAACGCUUUAAGCAUCCCGCCUGGGGAGUACGGUCGCAAGAUUAAAACUCAAAGGAAUGA
rnacentral:rRNA from 1 species